UACAGAGGGGGCAAGCGUUAUUCGGAAUUAUUGGGCGUAAAGGGCGCGUAGGCGGCCUGGCAAGUGGAAGGUGAAAUCCCUCGGCUUAACCGAGGAACUGCCCUCCAAACUGCUUGGCUUGAGACCGGGAGAGGUGAGUGGAAUUCCCAGUGUAGCGGUGAAAUGCGUAGAUAUUGGGAGGAACACCCGUGGCGAAGGCGGCCAGCUGGGCCGUCCCUGACGCUGAGGCGCGAAGGCGUGGGGAGCGAACGGG
rnacentral:rRNA from 1 species